UUUAGGUACUAGUGCAGCCUAGGCCCCUUUUCUCAGGGAUAGCCUAACAUCUGACCGCACCCUCUUUGCUUUUUAAAAAAUGUCUUUUCCCUCUUUAAGAUAAAUCCACUAUUAUACAAUCUGCCACUAAUUGUGUAUUAAGAAUGUUUUUCUCUUGAAAGCUGACGCAUCCUGCUCUCAACGUGGUGUAGAAAACAGUCUGUUACAGUGCUGGAUUAAUAAAAGGGGCCUUUAUGGGUUGUGAAAGAAUAUCUCUGUGCUUAGGCAGGAAACUUUUUGAUCCACAGAAAACCCUGACGACAUCUAGCUGUGUGAUAGUGAUAGAUGAAGACAUGUGGGAUCUUUACUGGAUUUUGGAUCAGGUGCAUGAACAAGACAAGACAACUUUAGGAACACACUUCUUGUGAUAUGCUCAGUGCUUGCUUUCAUAAAUUCUUCAGGAGCCUGUGCAUGGUGAUGAACUGUACAGUGAUCGGAAAAUUUAAAACAAUGGAAAACGAUGAAGUUGUUAACAGAAAUCAACAAAGCCGAAGCACUUCUCGAAGAGCACUGAGUUUUCUAUACCAGAUUCUACUUCAGUGGCCAGGACCUUUAUGGCCGCUGAUCCUGUUUGGCUCUGGUUCUGAUGAGAAAACACCGUGGAUCCAGUCCUAAAGUAGAAAUUUUCUUUUUUCAUUCCGCAAGCAAGGCUAAACCUCGGAGAGGAGAAUGAAUGUGAAUGCAGUUCGAGAUUGUGGUCGUGUCAUUAAAAGUGUUCGGCUUCCGAGCAAAAUGGGAAAUCCGAUCAGUUGAUCUUCCUGUACCAACAAUAUUUAAAAGUUGUAUGUGGUUCGAGUGACCUGGCUCGAGCAACAGCAAUCUCUGUAUGUCAAUAUUUUCUGCGGUUUAUGGAGUGAAAAGUAGUUGCUGGGUUGGAAAGGAAGAAGCUGCUAAUAUCAGCCUGUAGAAGGAUUAAAUGUUGAAUAUGGGGAAAAGGCAAAAAAAGUAAAUAUCUGCCUGAAGGCUAUCGUGGCACUGAAGAUGAGUUUAAAGUGCUGUCUAAUCUAGGGCCCACCUUAACAGCAAGACUAAACAUAUAAUGGGGGAAUAUUUAAAUUAGAAACCCAUUAACAAGCAUUUAAUCCUUCUCUAAGGCACUAGAGGAAAUAAUAUAAAACUGUUAUUGUACAAAUCUAUUAGAAGCAGAUUUUAACUCUCAUUUAGGCUCUUCUUUUUCAAGUAUUUAAUAUAGCUACUCAGGAAUCAGGAUAGUGAACAUUUUUCCUGUACUCUCCCCUUCCUCCCCCCCCCUCCCCCCCCCAGAGUCAUGGCAUAUAUUCUAAGAAACAUUUUAUUAAAUCAUAUAAUGUAUUGUUUUCACUGUAUGUGCAUAUAUUACCUGCUUGUUUGAUAUUUUCUGCCCCUACUUGGAAAUAUGUUUAACUUUUUUUAAAAUAGCAAGAAAAAAAAGAGUUUUACUGAAUGCAAUUGUGACGAUACAGAUUAUUCGAAGAAGAAUUCUACUGGAUCACAUUGGACUUUUCCUAGUCCCUGAGACCCUAACUUGUGAGGUUUUUUAGCAACAAUCACAAGUCAGGCUCUUGGGACCUAGGCGGAGGGGAACCAGCAGCUUUGGACUUAUUGAUUGUUUUUCUGCGAUAUUAAGAGAACCAAAGGAGACAUUCCUGUCCAGGGGAAUUAUUAAUUUCAUAUGUUAAGAACUAUUACUAAACAAAAAUAUUCGUAUCCACUGUACACAAUAAAGUGGUUUUAUGAAGAUGCUACAUAUUUGCAUGUUUGGAAACCUGUAUGGUACAGGGCAUUGUGUAAAAUCCGGAAUUAAAAUUUAAAACAAAUGCUAGAUAUGUACAUGAAAAGCCAAGUACUGAAGAAUACGUGAAGUAUUUCCAACCAUGAUUCUGCUAUUAUGGAUGAUACACAUAGAUAAUUAAGAUGAAGCACAUGUCCAGUUAUACUGCUAUAGUAUUUGAUUUACUCUUUAAAUCAGACAAUUUGAACAAUGAUGCAUGGGGCCUAGCACACCAUACAUUCUGGGGUAUAGAGAUAUGAACAGACAAGAAAACUGUUGCUUAGUUUUCCCUGUAAUCCAAUACAGAGAUUCCUUUAUAGUUAACUGUCAUUACUCUUUGUCUAAGCAAAAGCACAAUAGGAAAUUAUGAAGGGUCACACUUACUUGAAACCACAUUUUAAUAUGAUAGAAAAUUGAUAGGUAGUGUCAAGUUCAUAACACACUACUGAAAUCACUUGGAACACAAGGCUCUUUACUCUUGAUGUUGAUGUACUUAUUCUAGCUAAACCGUGAAAGCAGUAUGCCAUUUAUUGGGUUCAACAUCUAGUCUCUUCCCUCACUUUUCACCUUUAUUCAGUUAUAGAAACAGAAUGACUUUUAUGUUGUCCCCAGAUGCAAAAUACUUCAGUGCCCUAAGUACACAAAGAUUUGGAAGGACAAGAUACUUUGUAACAUUUAUCAAUGCUUCGAAGUGCUGAAGUAUUAAACAGAGAAUUUAACUGUACUUCUUAAUAUUUUAUCUGUAGUUUAGUUAUGAUGAAUCACUUCUUGUUUCCUGUAUCUACCCCAACAUGCUGCAGCACCUUGAAGAUGGUGUGCUAAUAUCAAACCUCAUCGAUUAAAACAAAGGCUUUACACAGCACAAGCAUCUAAACAAUUUGUUCAUUUCAAAAGCAGUAUUUUGGCUUGAGUUAAUUUUUUUUCCACACAUGUAGGAGGAAUUGUGCGUUAUUGUAAGUGUCAACCCUUUGUUAAAAUAAAUUAUUCUUAUGCGUUAGCAUAAUUUGUGUUUUUGUUGUCCUGUUUUCUAAAAAGACAGAAACAAUGCACUAUAUAGUUUCCAAUCAAUUUGCUCAGCCUACAGUUAAAGCUUUACUUCAAAUAAUCACAAAGAAUUUCCUUACCUAUCUGAAAGAUGACACAGCUCCUGAUCAUGACUAAACUAUUCUUUUCUUCAUAAAACCCUCAAUCCCACCUGCUCAGGUCACUCAAGAGUUAUUUGGAAAUACUUCAUCCAUCUCAGACAUACUAGUACUUCUUUUCAACAAAGACAUGCUGUCUUCUAUUGGUUUCUAUUUAUGUAAUCUGAGAGGAGAAUAUCUAAAUCUGUGUUUGCAAAACUAAAAUAUCAAACUAGUGUGAUGCAUUGAUGAAGCACUUUGGUAGCAACUGGCUUACAUUUUGCAUUACAGCUGCUAUCAUUUUUUUAUAAAGACAGUAUUGAUUUGCAAAUAUAUCUAGGUUUUGAUCUUGUGAAUAUAUAUUUUACCUAUAUGAAUUACCUCAUAAAACAUAAGUAUACUGUGUGUAUGCACACACUGAUAUAUAAUACUUAUGUUAUCUAAAUGUUGCUAUACACUUUUCAAAAUAAAAUUCCUGAUGUUAAUUUAUUUAGCAGGUAAUUUUUGCUCAUGCAUACACAUAUUAAGAAUUUUUAGAGCAUUUAUUUUUGUGUCACAAGAAUGAUCUUGAGCACAAUAAGUUCAUACUUGAAACAGAGUAAUUCAUUGUGCAAUUCUUCUCCCAUGUAAAAGGAGACAUUAGACACUGCAUUUUUACCUACCCCAGUCAUGACCUGACAAUAUAAAGGUACCAAAUAUUUUCCCUUGUGCAAUGAGAUUAAAAAUGCAUCCAGGAAGAUCCUGACUUGACUCAGUUGAUGUCACAACAAAACCAUGAAUACAAUGGCAUGGGACACAAUACUGGCUCUGCAUUUAGGGCUUUAACUGAGGUAGUAUAGUGGAUAUUCUGUGCCACCACUGCCCCUUGGAAAAUGAGAGAAAAAGUUGGAGUACAUCAUCCCUUCACAGCCUCUCCCCCAUACCUUUAAUUAACCCAGUUCAAGCACUGCAAAACCAAGCACUGGAGUGGAUUAAACCCUUUAUGAAAAUAUAUUUUCCAGUUUUACCUGGGGCAGAAAUCCUACUGAGGUCAAUGAAGCUUUUGCCCAUGUCAGGACCCCAGGACUAAGUCCCCAGACACUCUGUAGAAUGAAAUUUUAUUUAUAUUUUAAUAGCAUGUGAGAGUAUUUAUUAGCUGAUUGGCAGCCUAUAUCUUUGGUAUUUAUAAUUUUAUAUAUAACAAUCUAUCUAUACUUACAAAUGCAUGUAUAAUAUACAUAAAUUCAUUUUCUGUUGCAGUAUAAUAUUUGUAUAUGCUGUAUAAUAUGUGAUUGGGGGGUAAUCAGCUCAAGCUACAGUUAGGGAAAAAACAACAAAACCUCUAGCAACAGAGAGAGAGAGAGAGAGAGAGAAAGAAAAUGAUGUGUGGUGCAUACAAAAAAGGAGUGAUAUUAACAAUUCGAUGAAUUCCUAGUUGGUAGACCAGACUGAGCCAGACGCAUAUAUUAGCGGCUGUCUGCUGCUGAUGUGAGCCUGCUCAAUGCGGUGGAAAUGAAGGAUCACCUAGUCUCUGACACCAGCUUAUUUGUACGUUUUAAUUUUAAAAAGGAAAAUCACUGUUUUACAUAAACAUCUUAACCCCUGCAUGAUUUUCUCUUCCCCCCCACCCCAUAUUGUUUGCUAAUUUACUGUCAACUUAAAGUGCUGUUUAGCUAUAGCCCAACAAAGCAUCAGUCAAAAGCAGGGGGGAAGUACUUCUCUUUUGUCUGUCAUGUACAAUUGGGUUAUUAUCAUGAUAAUCAACUAUUUUAACUUUUAAUCUUCAUAGGGGACACAUCAAUUUUUCAAAAAGUCAUUUUAAAGCAUUUUUCCACUUCAACAAAGACAACUCUCUUAAAUGUAUACCAAAAAUAAAAUGUGU